rnacentral:lncRNA from 1 species
GGGGCACAUCUUUUCAACAGAGUCUGCUAUAAGGAGAAGAAACCAACGUGAAAGAGAUGUAAAGAGAAAGUGAGAGACAGGUACAGGCAUGGGACUUGACUGAACAUCUAAAGAAGCAGACUAAGGAAUGUGAUCCUUGGCAUUAGCCUUUGAAGCUUUCUCCUAGAUCCAGAUUUCUGCCUGGUCUUAAAUGCAGAUUGAAAAUUCUGAAUCAGUGUCAAGACACACAGAACAAAGCUCUGAUCAAGGAGUUAAGAACUGCAGGAACUAAACCUUGGGUCAUCAUAAGACAGUUUUGAAGACUGCCUUACCAGACAAAUACUCUAUUUUUGUACUCCAUUUUGGAUUACUGUUUCCCAGAGGGGGAAAAAAUAAAAGGAAAUCCAGCACAGAACAUCUUGAAGGACAAAGUGGGAAGGCAUCGUCUCCUUGGCACACACUGUUUGACUUUGCUGGCAGAAACUAGCUUUGC